rnacentral:rRNA from 1 species
GAUGAACGCUGGCGGCGUGCCUAAUACAUGCAAGUCGAACGAAACUUCUUUAUCACCGAGUGCUUGCACUUACCGAUAAAGAGUUGAGUGGCGAACGGGUGAGUAACACGUGGGCAGCCUGCCCAAAAGAGGGGGAUAACACUUGGAAACAGGUGCUAAUACCGCAUAACCAUAGUUACUGCAUGGUAACUUUGUAGAAGGUGGCUAUACUACCGCUUUUGGAUGGGCCCGCGGCGCAUUAGCUAGUUGGUAGGGUAAAGGCUUACCAAGGCAAUGAUGCGUAGCCGAAUUGAGAGGUUGAUCGGCCACAUUGGGACUGAGACACGGCCCAAACUCCUACGGGAGGCAGCAGUAGGGAAUCUUCCACAAUGGGCGAAAGCCUGAUGGAGCAACGCCGCGUGGGUGAAGAAGGUCUUCGGAUCGUAAAACCCUGUUGUUAGAGAAGAAAGUGCGUGAGAGUAACUGUUCACGUUUCGACGGUAUCUAACCAGAAAGCCACGGCUAACUACGUG